UACGGAGGGUGCGAGCGUUGUCCGGAAUCACUGGGCGUAAAGGGCGCGUAGGUGGCGCGGGCAGUCAACGGUGAAAGUUCGGGGCUCAACCCUGAAUCGGCCGUCGAUACUCCCGUGCUUGAGCACUGUAGAGGCAGAUGGAAUUCCGGGUGUAGCGGUGGAAUGCGUAGAGAUCCGGAAGAACACCGGUGGCGAAGGCGAUCUGCUGGGCAGUAGCUGACGCUGAGGCGCGACAGCGUGGGGAGCAAACAGG
rnacentral:rRNA from 1 species